CUCGGAGGACUGAUCCGGGGUCUGUUUUCUAUUUGCCAAUCUCUUAGAUUGGCGGCGAGGAGGUAGGGGGGAGGCAGAUCCCUGCUCAGUUGUUCCCCGAGAGUAGGAGUCUACGCAUGUGGUUAAUAAUGACGUAGGGGGAUAAAGCUUGAGGACGCAGGUUGAGGUCCGGGCCUGCGAUACGUGCAGUUUACUUGUGCGAAACGGGGUCUUGUAAAAGGUCCCGGAGCUUUAGGAAGGCGUGCGUAAGGAGCACUACAAUGACGUAGGCGGCCAGUCGCUGGCGGUUUAUUGGGAACGGCGACGCGCCGGCCGCUUUGUGUGGACCUUUGUAUGGCCGAGAAGCCACAACAAACCUCCCUCCCUCGCCUCGCCGCGGUGCACAUCGUCGCCUCAUUCGACCACGUCUCCGUCAGCCACGCCGCCGUUUACUCUGCGAGGCGAAGCCGGACCGGCUUGCAGACUCGAGCAUGCACGCAAACACGACACGGGGCUUCUUGUGGUCGGACGUGGAGACGAGAACCCUCCUGAACAUCUGGGGGGAGCAGGACAUCCAGACCGCUUUGGAUGGAAACUUCAGAAACAGCUUCGUCUACCGCGACGUGGCCCGCAGGUUGGGGGCGAUGGGGUUCGAUAGGACCCCGGAACAAUGCCGGGUGCGGAUUAAAAGCCUGAAGAGGCAAUAUCUGUUGGCCAAGGAAGGUAACCUUAGGAACAACGGGCAGUAUCACAAGAUAUGCAAGUUUUACGACACCAUGGAGAGAAUUUUAAGCAACCGGCCCGCCAUCGACCCCCAGGAGUUGAAUGACAGCGGGGCGGGUGGAGAUGACCCCGGGGAUGGGGUGGAUGAGGAUGGAGAGGAUGGCCAGGAUGCGUAUUCGGAAGGCAUGGGGGAAUGUCCUAUGCCUGCUGAGACCGAAGUGAAACUGGAAUAUCCGCCUGUCCCUAUUUCGAUUCCUGUCAAAGUCACAGUGGGCAGUAACGGAUCUUCACUGAGAUCCAGUAACAACAGCCAGUUGGCCAGUACUUUGUCCUCCAGCAGACCUAAACGGCCCAGGAAGCGGCGCACCAACUUCCCCAUGGAGAAGCUGAUGGAGCAGUUCCUGGAGCAGAGCGCCCAAGCUGAGGAGAGCUUCUACCGGAUAGAGGAGCAGCGCUUGCAGGCAGAGGACCGUCGAAGAGAGACCGAACACACCAGGGAGCUCAGUAUGCUCCAGAUGCUCGGUCAGGUGUUCUCCAGCAUCUCUGCGCCACCCACCCACACACCUGUACCCUCCAGUGCCUCCCCCUCCUGUGUCCGGGGCCCAUCCCGCCACGCCAGAUGUCCCUCACCCCAGGCGGACUAUUUCAUCCAGAAAAGUCAACCAUUGAACCGAGAGCCACAGACAUUAGUGUUUGAGCGCUACAUCGGCUUUGGGUCCACGUCCCGUAGAGGCAUGGAUAACGACAUCCUUUCACUCGUGAAAAGUAUAGUCCCUCCACUGACAUCCAAAAAGCACAAGGGCCAAGAUGGACGAAUUGGGAUCAUUGGCGGUUGCCAAGAAUAUACGGGUGCUCCUUACUUCGCAGCAAUCGCAGCAUUAAAAGUGGGUGCUGACCUGUCUCACGUAUUCUGCACCAGGGAGGCUGCAACUGUAAUCAAGUCAUACAGCCCUGAACUCAUAGUCCAUCCAGUCCUGGACAGCCCAAAUGCAGUGGAAGAGAUAGAGAAGUGGCUCCCAAGACUGCACUGCCUUGUUGUGGGACCGGGACUUGGGCGAGAGGAUGCUCUACUGAAAACAGCCAAGGAGGUCAUAGAAAAGUCUAAAGCAAGAGACAUUCCCAUCGUCAUUGAUGCUGACGGAUUAUGGCUAGUUUCUCAACAACCAUCUGUCAUUCAAGGCUACCAUAAGGGCAUCCUCACACCUAACUUUAUGGAGUUCACCAGACUGUAUGAGGCACUGCACCAUGUUCCUGUGGACAGCAGUGAUCAUCAGCGGAGUGCCACGCAGCUUAGCAGCGCUAUGGGGAACCUCACUGUGGUGCUUAAAGGAGAACAGGAUCUUAUCACCGACGGCACAAAGGAAACAUACCAUGGAGAUAUUUUACACACACACUGUCUUUCCAGUGAUCUCAUGCAGUGUCGAGGGCAGCGGGAGAAGAUGCGGUGGACAGGGUGACCUCCUCUCUGGAUCUCUGGGUGUGCUGGCACAUUGGGCCUAUUCUUCCUCUGCAGGAAUGAAUCAAAGUGUGAAUCCAUCUGUGGUAGCAGCAUUUGGGGCCUGUUCUCUUACCAGACAGUGCAACAGUCAAGCCUUCCAUCAACACGGCAGAUCCACCACCACUUCAGACAUGAUCCAGCAGAUCGGCACUGCCUUCAAAAAGCUUUUUGAAAGCUGAAAAACAAAGAACAA